GGCAGUGUGCUGACUGGGUCAGACGUGCGGCUCGUGAGGGAAAGGGCCGCUGAGGAAACUCCCCGCUGACAGAUUUAGCGCAGCUCUGGCUGUGUCUGGAGCUCCACUCUUUGUCGUCGCCUUUAGCCAUUGAUCUCCAGGCUUCCAGCGCAGCUCGGGACUCCACAGUGAGCUCCAGGCCUCGGAUUGAAUCUCGCGGAUCUCCAGCGCACAGAAGCCCCUUUGUACUCUUCCACCCCUGACUCUGCAGGCGGCCAUCAUCUGACACAUGCCCAGAGCCUGGGAAAGUUCUUGAGCAACAGUGUGAGGCGCCUCAGCUGGUCGGGAUCUAAGGCUCAGCACGCUGACCACACUCUUCCCACUGGCUUGCUGGCCUGAAAAGGUGCUGGACAAACACAGGAGAAGCAGCGCACCACCACGUUCCAUGCCAAC
rnacentral:lncRNA from 1 species